rnacentral:rRNA from 1 species
CUACGGGUUGCUGCAGUAAGGAAUAUUGCGCAAUGGAGGCAACUCUGACGCAGCCAUGCCGCGUGCAGGAAGAAGGCCUUAUGGGUCGUAAACUGCUUUUAUUUAGGAAUAAACCCCCGAACGUGUUCGGGGCUGAAGGUACUAAACGAAUAAGCACCGGCUAACUCCGUGCCAGCAGCCGCGGUAAUACGGAGGGUGCAAGCGUUAUCCGGAUUUAUUGGGUUUAAAGGGUGCGCAGGCGGGCUAUUAAGUCAGUGGUGAAAUCCCGGGGCUCAACCCCGGAACUGCCAUUGAUACUGAUAGUCUUGAGUGUGGUUGAAGUGGGCGGAAUGUAGCAUGUAGCGGUGAAAUGCAUAGAUAUGCUACAGAACACCAAUCGCGAAGGCAGCUCACUAAGCCAAAACUGACGCUCAUGCACGAAAGCGUGGGGAUCAAACAGGAUUAGAUACCCGCGUAGUC